AGGUAAAGGAGCAUUGAGAGGUGCUUGGCCUUGAUCUGAUUGGACUAUCGCCAGAGACAGGGAAUCUGAAAAGGAAACACACAGGAGACACGUUGUCAACCCAGCACCAAGGACCAUACAUUGUGACCAACAUCACAGCAAAGGGGGUGGCCACUAUUGUGAAGGAACCAGUUUGUCAGACGGUGACCCUGUCCAGGUUGAGAAAUUACCACCGUUCCAAAAAGAAAGCCCGCUGUAUCAACAACCACCUCCUCCUCCAGCUCUCCCGGCAGCAUUCCUGCGCAAGCGACUGGUGUUCAGCUGGGUGCUGAACACGUCCUUCCUCCUUUUCACCAAUACUCAAUGCAGGACGUUAUUCUGUAGGAUGCACCCUGUGGCUGCCCCUGCAAGAAACAGAGAAGAGACACCUGCCACCAGCAGCACGCCACUCCUGUCCUUCCUGGAGAAAAAGAAAUCGGCUACUCCAAUGAGGGCACAUUUGCCAUGAGGGGAUGUGGAGGCCUACCUGGCAGAUGCGGACAUCAGCCUUACUGAUGACCCAGUGAAAUACAAUCAGGCAAGAUCCAGUGCUGGCCCAAUUUGACAAGCUUUGCACUGCACCAUCUCAGUUGUCCACCUGCUAGUGUCCAGUCUGAGCGUGUUUUUAGCACGGCUGGAAAUGUGGUUUCUCCCCAGCGAGCAAACCCAGACCCUAGCCAGGUGGAACAACUAGUCUUCAUUACAGUAAAUGAAGAUCUGAAAUAGGAGCACAGUACUGUUUGGGCAGUAGAACAACCUCUCUCUCACACAGUCACACAGUCACUCUGUCACACACACAUGCACACACACACACCUUAAUCAACAUUGUUUAACUUUGUGUGGGGGGAAAAAAAGUGCAAAAACGUUUUGGUUUGGUUUCAUUUUAUUUCAACAUGCAUGAAGGUUACAAU